rnacentral:snoRNA from 1 species
AUGGACAUGACGAUCCUUUCCCCAAAUGAUCGACAAUGAACAUACUGUGCGAUAAUUUGUUUUCAUCUCAAAUGAGACGACUUCCAAGCCAGAAAUCCGAUCCUU